rnacentral:tRNA from 1 species
CAGAGAAUAGUUUAAUAAAGAAUUCUAGCUUUGGGGGCUAGGGGUAGGAAUUGAAGUUUUCUUUCUCUGA